CCCCAAGGCAAAGUUGGCCACUCUUUGAGCAUGGCUUCCAAUAGGCACCGGUACGCCCCCCACCACCAUUGACAGAAGGCCCGUAUUAAAGCUGGUAGUUACCGGAUGAGGCGCAUGAGGAAAGGGGUGAGAAGAAAAAUGAUUCCACAAAAACCACGAGAGCCCAAAGGCCUUUCUGCUUCUGCCAGAAACAAGUUCCGGAGAAGACAAAGCUCCUGAUUCACGUGCUCUCUGGGAACCAAAUCGGACUGUGCCUUGGAGAGAAGGAGCCAGAAGCCAUUCAGCCAGCAGACCUUCACUGAGUGCCUGCUGUGGGCCAGUCAUCAUGUGGGGAGAAUCACGUAACAGGAAGCAGACAGGACCUGGGCCCUUGAGCUCCCAGGCCAGUGGAGGAGACGUGAGAGUUCUCGAACACCUGGUUUUUUUUUUCUUAGUCCUUCAAUGCUGGUGCUCCCCAGGGUUCUGUCUUGGUAUUCUCCCGCAAGGCCAUCCUACAUCAUGCCGACAAUGAGUCUGAAUUUCCAAAGAAACCCUGCUUCUUGGA